UGCUGACGAGCGGCGGACGGGUGAGUAAUGUAUGGGGAUCUGCCUGAUGGAGGGGGAUAACUACUGGAAACGGUAGCUAAUACCGCAUAAUGUCUACGGACCAAAGCGGGGGACCUUCGGGCCUCGCGCCAUCAGAUGAACCCAUAUGGGAUUAGCUUGUAGGUGAGGUAACGGCUCACCUAGGCGACGAUCCCUAGCUGGUCUGAGAGGAUGAUCAGCACACUGGGACUGAGACACGGCCAGACUCCUACGGGAGGCAGCAGUUGGGGAAUAUUGCACAAUGGGCGCAAGCCUGAUGCAGCCAUGCCGCGUGUAUGAAGAAGGCCUUCGGGUUGUAAAGUACUUUCAGUCGGGAGGAAGGUGGUAAGGUUAAUAACCUUAUCAAUUGACGUUACCGACAGAAGAAGCACCGGCUAACUCCGUGCCAGCAGCCGCGGUAAUACGGAGGGUGCAAGCGUUAAUCGGAAUUACUGGGCGUAAAGCGCACGCAGGCGGUUGAUUGAGUCAGAUGUGAAAUCCCCGGGCUUAACCCGGGAAUUGCAUCUGAUACUGGUCAGCUAGAGUCUUGUAAGGGGGGUAGAAUUCCAUGUGUAGCGGUGA
rnacentral:rRNA from 1 species